rnacentral:tRNA from 1 species
GGGCCCAUAGGUAAGUGGUAUACCGCAUCCCUCGCAUGGAUGAAUUCUGAGUUCGAUUCUCAGUGGGUCCACUA